rnacentral:rRNA from 1 species
UGCCUACGGGGCGCAGCAAUGGGGAAUAUUGCACAAUGGGGGAAACCCUGAUGCAGCGACGCCGCGUGAGUGAAGAAGUAUUUCGGUAUGUAAAGCUCUAUCAGCAGGGAAGAAGAAAGACGGUACCUGACUAAGAAGCCCCGGCUAACUACGUGCCAGCAGCCGCGGAAAUACGUAGGGGGCAAGCGUUAUCCGGAUUUACUGGGUGUAAAGGGAGCGUAGACGGCUGUGAAAGUCUGAAGUGAAAGC